GCAAGUCGAGCGGACCAACGAGGAGCUUGCUCCUCAGAGGUCAGCGGCGGACGGGUGAGUAACACGUGGGCAACCUGCCUGUAAGACUGGGAUAACUCCGGGAAACCGGGGCUAAUACCGGAUAACAUCUUCCUCUGCAUAGAGGAGGAUUAAAAGAUGGCUUCGGCUAUCACUUACAGAUGGGCCCGCGGCGCAUUAGCUAGUUGGUGGGGUAAGAGCCUACCAAGGCGACGAUGCGUAGCCGACCUGAGAGGGUGAUCGGCCACACUGGGACUGAGACACGGCCCAGACUCCUACGGGAGGCAGCAGUAGGGAAUCUUCGGCAAUGGACGAAAGUCUGACCGAGCAACGCCGCGUGAGUGAGGAAGGCCUUCGGGUCGUAAAGCUCUGUUGUUAGGGAAGAACAAGUACCGUUCGAACAGGGCGGUACCUUGACGGUACCUAACCAGAAAGCCACGGCUAACUACGUGCCAGCAGCCGCGGUAAUACGUAGGUGGCAAGCGUUGUCCGGAAUUAUUGGGCGUAAAGCGCGCGCAGGCGGUCUCUUAAGUCUGAUGUGAAAGCCCACGGCUCAACCGUGGAGGGUCAUUGGAAACUGGGGGACUUGAGUACUGGAGAGGAGAGUGGAAUUCCAUGUGUAGCGGUGAAAUGCGUAGAUAUAUGGAGGAACACCAGUGGCGAAGGCGGCUCUCUGGCCAGUAACUGACGCUGAGGCGCGAAAGCGUGGGGGAGCAAACAGGAUUAGAUACCCUGGUAGUCCACGCCGUAAACGAUGAGUGCUAGGUGUUGGGGGGUUCCAC
rnacentral:rRNA from 2 species